rnacentral:tRNA from 1 species
GCCUGGAUAGCUCAGUCGGUAGAGCAGAGGACUGAAAAUCCUCGUGUCGCUGGUUCGAUUCCGGCUCCAGGCA